CAGGGUGUGGUCUCACCAAGUUCAUGAAGUAGCUGGUGAAAGUGUAGCCAGAGCCUUGCAGCAGACUUUUUUCUGAUGCCUGAGGUGUACUUAUCUCAGCUCCAGGUUGCAGAAGCUUCCUUUGGUCAUGGAAACCUUUGGGGAGGAGAAGGCACCAAAGCAAUGAUCUGGGAAAGGCUGUAGACCCCUCUUCAGCCCUGAGACAGGACUCCCUUACCUGUAGCCACAGCCAUCCGGAAGAGGAUGCUGCAGGAGAAAAUGACAGAGUGGUGAGUGCCAGCAACUCAGUUUCUCCGGAACAAAGUGCCAAGUGUCUGGAAAACAGCAGUCUGGAGAGGAACCAAAGUGAGUGGAGGUGACAUGAUAAGCGUGAGACAAGAAACAGAGGAGAAAUACUAGGACUCAUUCCUGCAGAACAGAUAUCUCAGCACCACAGAAUAGAGACAGCACAGUGUACUGGAGGUGGGCAGGCAGCAAAACCAACUCUGCUCCUCCCUGAGAAAUGGAACCCUGACCUGGGCCAAGAUGUUUUCCAGAGUCAGUGGAUGAUGAGUGAGGUGAAGCUGUGCCCUGGCUCACAGUCAUGUGGAGCA
rnacentral:lncRNA from 1 species